rfam:Triticum aestivum genome assembly, contig: Triticum_aestivum_CS42_TGACv1_scaffold_592151_7BS
UUUGUACUCCCUCCAUCCCAAAAUUCUUGUCUUAAAUUUGUCUAAAUACGGAUGUAUCUAGUUACAUUUUAGUGUUAGAUACAUCCGUAUCUAAACAAAUGUAAGACAAGAAUUUUGGGACGGAGGGAAUACUAC